rnacentral:rRNA from 1 species
AACGAACGCUGGCGGCAUGCCUAACACAUGCAAGUCGAACGAGACCUUCGGGUCUAGUGGCGCACGGGUGCGUAACGCGUGGGAACCUUCCCUUAGGUUCGGAAUAACUCCCCGACAGGGGUGCUAAUACCGGAUAAUGUCUUCGGACCAAAGAUUUAUCGCCUUUGGAUGGGCACGCGUUGGAUUAGCUAGUUGGUAGGGUAAAAGCCUACCAAGGCGACGAUCCAUAGCUGGUCUGAGAGGAUGAUCAGCCACACUGGGACUGAGACACGGCCCAGACUCCUACGGGAGGCAGCAGUGGGGAAUAUUGGACAAUGGGCGAAAGCCUGAUCCAGCAAUGCCGCGUGAGUGAUGAAGGCCUUAGGGUUGUAAAGCUCUUUUACCCGGGAUGAUAAUGACAGUACCGGGAGAAUAAGCUCCGGCUAACUCCGUG